rnacentral:rRNA from 1 species
UACGAAGGGUGCAAGCGUUAAUCGGAAUUACUGGGCGUAAAGGGCGCGUAGGCGGGAUGGCAAGUCGGUCGUGAAAUCCCUCGGCUCAACCGAGGAACGUCGAUCGAUACUGCUGUUCUUGAGGAUUGCAGAGGAGACUGGAAUUCCCGGUGUAGCGGUGAAAUGUGUAGAGAUCGGGAGGAACACCGGUGGCGAAGGCGGGUCUCUGGGCAAUUCCUGACGCUGAGGCGCGAAAGCGUGGGGAGCAAACAGG